GGCUCGACUAGCUGACUUUGGGUGGGUGUGCGCAAGGAUUUUUUUCUUUCUUUUUUGGGGUGGGUGAGCGGCUCGCUCGAGUCGACUCGAGCUGUGCGGCGCGCUCCCCUUCGUGUGGGAGCGGCGAGGAGAGAGGAGGGCAGCACGGCCGGCGACGGCCCCGGCGGAAAGCUGGGCGGCCUAGUGGCGUCGUGGGGCGAGCUCGCGGCCGGCCGUCCGGCACUACAGGUGGCGGCGCGGGAAGGCGGAGGAGGAGGGCGAGGUGGGUGGUGAUUGAGGGUCUGCGGUAAGGCGAGGGCAAGAGGGGAGACAGGGUGCGGCGCCGUGGCAGGGGUCGGGGGCGGAGGCGGAGGCAGAGGCAGAGCGUCGGCCCCCGCCGCUACGCGGAGGCGGGCGUCGGCUGCUUGAGCUGACGCACCCGUGCCCGUCGCUGCAGCUCACGCAGCAGCUGCCGCUGGGACCCCGCCUCCUCCCCCAGCGGGGCCGCGAGCGCCCCUCCCUCACCACCCUCACCCACAGCGACCACAGCGGGAAGAAGAAGACCCCGUGCCGGUACCACCGGUACUUCCCCCAGUAUGGGUUCUGCCCCGGGAAGAAGCAGCGGCGCGAGGCGGACGAGGGGCGCCCGCGCGAGCAGCAGCGGAAGCGCCGGCGCGCCCCGUCCUUCGUCGGGAGGCCCACCCGGCGGACCCCGCGGUAGCGGCGGAAGCCAGAGUAGCUGCGGCGGACGAAGGUCCCGAAAGAGUGGCUCCCGAACGUCUUCUGUAGCCGACCGGAGCCUUCGCAGUAUUAACUGAGGGUUGGUAACUGCCAACGAUAGGAACGUCGCGAUAAGAAGCCUCUCAGAUAGCCCCGCUAUCCUCGACCCCCCGAGCAUGACCCACAACAACCCGAAAACGAGGAGCUCCAAGGUCGUGACAGUCAACUUCCUUCGUUGUGUAGUCAGACCCCCUCACCUCUUACCACCUACAAGGAGAGCCGGGUUUCGUACCGCCAGCCUUGAUAGUACCAAGCGACCCAUAGUUUCAUAAGACUAGGUUAGUACCGUUGUCCUACCGUGUACCAUAAUCCACCCCAAGGAAACAACCAAUAUAGACAAGAAUUAGUGCUAGGACGAGAAUUACCUGUGUAAGUUCUCGAAUGUACCUCACUGUAUCAUCGAGACCCAAUAUGUAGAUAUAAGCCGUCACGACAGUCGAUACCACAGAUGAAGAUGUUACGAUGUUCUCCAUCAAACUGGUGCGAAUCAAGAGAAUGAAAGAACUGAGGAUACAAGCGGAGGUAAAAACCCAAGGAGAUAGACCCUCUCUGGAAGCGUGGACUCGUCUAGCCACCACGUGAAGACUGUAACCAACGGUAGAUAUACCAAUUGAUGUUCUCGUAAUAUCCGCUCUUCAUUCUCUGACAGUUUUUUAACUAUCUAAGACACGGUCUGCCCAUGACGCGAAGUGACCUCGUGUACAUUGCCGCGACACGUCCCCAAACUUCUCACUGCUGUUGACUAACACUACAGUUAAGAUUCCUCCUAGGUUUUCAAUGGUAAUCUCAAUCGUUGUUUUGUUGCUUAUUACUACCGUUGUUGUUGGAUCGUUGGUUCCUACUACAAGUGAAUUGCGAUCACCUC
rnacentral:rRNA from 1 species